rnacentral:rRNA from 1 species
CCUACGGGUGACUGCAGUGAGGAAUAGUGGUCAAUGGGAGAGAUCCUGAACCAGCCAAGCCGCGUGAGGGAAGACGGCCCUAUGGGUUGUAAACCUCUUUUGUCGGAGAACAAAACCCGGGACGUGUGCCGGACUGCGUGUAUCCGAAGAAAAAGCAUCGGCUAACGCCGUGCCAGCAGCCGCGGUAAUACGGAGGAUGCGAGCGUUAUCCGGAUUUAUUGGGCUUAAAGGGUGCGGAGGCGGUCCGUUAAGUCAGCGGUAAAAUUGCGGGGCUCAACCCCGUCGAGCCGUUGAAACUGGCAGCCUUGCGUUGGCGCGAAGUACGCGGAAUGCGCGGUGUAGCGGUGACAUGCAUCGAUCUCGCGC